rnacentral:rRNA from 1 species
AACGAACGCUGGCGGCAUGCCUAACACAUGCAAGUCGAACGAGACCUUCGGGUCUAGUGGCGCACGGGUGCGUAACGCGUGGGAACCUGCCCUUAGGUUCGGAAUAGCUCCCCGAAAGGGGUGCUAAUACCGGACAAUGUCUUCGGACCAAAGAUUUAUCGCCUUUGGAUGGGCCCGCGUUGGAUUAGCUAGUUGGUAGGGUAAAAGCCUACCAAGGCGACGAUCCAUAGCUGGUCUGAGAGGAUGAUCAGCCACACUGGGACUGAGACACGGCCCAGACUCCUACGGGAGGCAGCAGUGGGGAAUAUUGGACAAUGGGCGAAAGCCUGAUCCAGCAAUGCCGCGUGAGUGAUGAAGGCCUUAGGGUUGUAAAGCUCUUUUACCCGGGAUGAUAAUGACAGUACCGGGAGAAUAAGCUCCGGCUAACUCCGUG